UUUUAAAAAACAGAAAUGUUGCAGUUUCGUUUUGUGACCGACACUAACGGGUAUUUUACAGGACAUACAGGAUUACUCGUUUUUGCGAUCACAAAUCCUGAAAUUGCAGCAAAAAACAGCAAAGAAA
rnacentral:pre_miRNA from 15 species